CAGUGUGUUAAAUUUAAAUUCUGUUAGUGCUGCACUAAAAGAAUUGUUAGUAAUAAGUCCAUGCAGCGAAGGAAUUGAACAAUUGUGGAACCGUAUUUGGGCUGAAAAUGGGUGUGGUACGGAAACCAAGAUAUGGCACGAGUUCAACAUCAAACAUGGAUUAGAAUUUUACCAGGGGAUCAAGUCAAGUCUGGAAGUGUUACAGGAUGGAAGAGUCAGCCUACAGUUGAAAAAACACAGAGUGCAUUACCAUUAAGGUAUGAGGUAAAGUAAUAGAGUAUGCACAUUGUCUAAUGAGAAGUACCAUCUUGUGUGAAUGAAUCCUGUAUAACAGCAAUCCUUUAUAGUUCUGUCUCAGCUAGAAGCCUCAAAUAAUUCUGCUUCCCUUGCUAAGAACAACUUGUCCUUUAUGUUCAGAGUGUUGGUGAAGCUGGGUAUUUAAAUGGCCCUAAAGAUGUUUCACUUCACUGGCAUUGCAGCGAUGAACAUCAUACAUGGACUCUUUAGGAAAGGAUUUUCAGCAUACUGGGAACACAACUAUCAACAAUGCAACAUUCUAGGGGUGCUAUUUUAUCAUUCAAGAGCCUUAUACAAUGAUUUUCAUCUGCAAUUUGUAUGGCCUUUCCCAAGCUUCUACCAGAAGUUGAAUCUAUGAGUCAUGUAAGUCACAUGAGCAACAAUUGAGAUGCUUAAUGGUGUUGUUUUUCUUUUCUCAGCAUAGGUUAAUAGUAACAUUGGAUCUGAAAAGAUUCUUGGUUGGGGCAAGACACUGAAUAAAUUGUAUUGAUUCGAUGGAUGACAUGACAUUUCUAUACUUAAUUUGGAUUCCCGAGACGGUAUUUUAUAUUUAAAAAAUUGAAGUGCAUAUCUGGGCUCCCUUCCUUUCCGUAGCCCCGUUUCCCCUUGACUCGUAAUA